UCAGAGCCCUAAUGGGAGAAGAAGGGCAAGUGUGGGCAAGGCCCCUGGCUCUCCUGCCUGCAGCCAUUUCUCAAGCAACCUGUUUCUCAGGGAGACUUCAAGAAACAGCUCCUGGUCUUUGCUUGAAAAGGAAACCAGUCGUUCAAGGGUUAAUCAUCAGUGCUAAGUGAAAAGCUCUGUGACUGUACUCUAAAGACUUCAUCACAAGGUGACUUGUCAGAUCUGAAGAGCAACUGAAAGUCACAGUGGAGUUCAGACUCAUCAUUGAUGACCAGGAUAAAAAAAAACAAGAUCAAGGUGCAGCUGAGUAUAGGAGAAUCUCCAGGGACCAAACACCAGCAUGAGAACUCAUUCAAGUUUUGAAACAGAUUCUCAGUGGUCUGGCCCUGAAUGCCUGGCUCCAGAGAUCUUCCUGCUUUGCCCUUCCAAGUAGCUAGGAUUAUACAUAUAAGCUUGAAGCAGAAACAACAUUAAGAACCUUGCUUACUGGCUUGCUCAGCUACCCUUCUUGCCCAGCUCGGGUCUACAGGCCUAAGAAUGAUACUGUCUCGGGUGGGCUGGUCCUUCCUACAUCAAUUACCAACCGAGAAAAUGCCUCAGAGAUGUAG
rnacentral:lncRNA from 1 species